rnacentral:tRNA from 3 species
GGCGGUGUGGCCGAGUGGUCAAAGGCAAUCGAUUCGAAAUCGAUGGACUCUGUCCCCACAGGUUCGAAUCCUGUCGCCGUCG